rnacentral:lncRNA from 1 species
GCUGCUUCUGAGGGGACAGCGGCUAAGGAACCAGAAUGCAUCUCCAAGUCUGUCUCUUUUCUUCCUCGGAAUAAGGAGGAGUUGGAAAGAACAAUUAAAACCAUCCAGGGAGCCAUAACUGGAGACAUCCUCCCCAGGCUGCAUAAGUGCCUCGCAGCUGCGACUAAGAGAGAAGAAGAGCACAAGCUGGUCAAGUCGAAGGUCGUGAAUGACGAGGAAGUGGUCCGAGUGCCCCUGGCCUUUGCCAUGGUGAAGCUGAUGCGGUCCCUUCCACGGGAAGUUAUGGAGGCAAACCUGCCCAGUAUUUUGCUGAAAGUGUGUGUCCUCCUCAAGAACAGAGCACAGGAAAUCAGAGACAUUGCACGCAGCACUCUCUGCAAAAUAAUGGAAGAUCUGGG